UCAAUGCGCAUGUGCGGCCAUUCAGGGUCCGCAGCUCUUUCACUACGGGGCACUGGUGGGCUACUGCGCAGGAACAACCAAGCACGAAGAAUCGUUUAGAAAAAAAAAAAACACACCCUCCCCUGGAGUGCUCAGGCCCAGCUGCACGCGGGCUGACAAACAUCGAGUCUAGAACUCUCCCACCCGGCCCCGGGCCCAGUGCGCAUGCGCAGCCGCGCGCCUUCGGCCCACCGUACUACUUCUGCGCCUGCGCGACCGUGAUUCCCCGCUCGCGACUCCCCACCCCCCAGGGCUCCCUAAAGAGGGCCACGAGCUGCGAAAGGGCGGGAAAGGCAGUUGGAGAAGAGGUAAGCGGUUACUCACUCCAUGGCUGCAGCAAGGAGAGGCGGCGGCGGCCUCGGCUGAAGAAAGAAGAAACCCACCUUGUCCCAUCCACAUCAGGACAUCCCAGCUGGAGUUCAACCUUCAUCCCUUCUGUGGCAGUUAGGAGACUGAAUCAAGGUCCAGAGAAGGUGGAGGAAUCCUGAUACUGAGCGAAAUCUUCCCAAGGCUGCAGACACCG
rnacentral:lncRNA from 1 species